GCGGGGACUGGGUGAAUUAUUGUGGGGGGGGGAGAGCUGCAGGGACUGUGCUGUGCAGCGGCCGCAGCUUCCGCUCCGUGCACGAGCGCUGGUAGUGCGUAGCCCUCAGCAAACGCGGGGGGAGCACCCCCAUCUCCCCCCCCGGGAGACCCCCGGCCUCCGCAGAGCCAUGGGCUGGAGCGGAGUACGAGAUGGCGCUGAGCAACGGGGAUUCCUUCUGGACGCGGCACCUCUCGGCUGAUGAAUUCCGUGCGGCCGCGGCCGGGGGGGGAAAGGCAAUGGGAGGGAGACUGGUGUGCAUCGAGAUCGGGGUGAAUCUUGGGAGUUAUGGGGUCUGAGAGGGCUUAUUGGGGUCCGCGUGGUCUGGAGGGGCUGAAGGGAUUGGUGUACAUCAGCGUCUGAGGGUAUAUGGGGAGUUAUGGUGGUUGGGGGUGCAUUGAGAUGGGCACGUAUAUGAGGGUCUGGAGGCUGGAGAACAUUGGCGUCUGUGGAAGUUAUACUGGGAUUUGGGGGAUCUUCAGAGAUUGGGAGGUGUCGAGGUCUGAGGGGCAUAUUGAGAUUUGGUGGGGCUGGGGGUUCUGAGUGGGUUUGGGGGGCAUUUCACAGCGAAGUAUAGGGGUUAUGGGGGGCUACAGGGGCACUUUGAAAUCAUGGGAGGUGAUGAGGGGCUUGGGAGAGUACAGGAGGUAUAAGGGUGAUGAAGUGGGGGGUAGGGGGUGUGAUGAAGGUGAGUGCCCAGCCCUCCCCACGUCCCCAUGCCAGCUGCUCCCCCUUCGUCAGCUCCCUCAUUUUCCUCCUCAUGCUCAUCGUGCUGGGCAAGUGCUUUUCCAUCACAGGGUUUGGUCUCUCAAUGGCCACAUCAGACUGGGGGGCUCCAUCAAGCUCUCUGUGUACAUGAGCGUGUACCACUCACAUCACCCUGCUCAUCUACAAGUCUCAGGGGGAUACCACCAGGGGCUGUACUGGAAGCUGAAGUGCUCCUGACUGGACAUGGGUGGCAGAAAAACUCCAUUGUCGCUGGCCUAGAGGCUCCAUGUAUCCUUGGCAUAGGUCACCUCAGGAGAGGUAUUUCAAGGACCCAAAAGGACAUCAUUGGGCUUUGGGAGAGCUGCUAUGGAGACAGCAAAAAUUAAGAUAGUUGAGUCCCUUGCUUGACC